rnacentral:rRNA from 1 species
GACGAACGCUGGCGGCGUGCUUAACACAUGCAAGUCGAACGGAAAGGCGCGGCUUUUGUGGGGGGCUCGAGUGGCGAACGGGUGAGUAAGACGUGAGUAAGCUGCCCUUGACUUUGGGAUAACGUUAGGAAACUGGGGGUAAUACCGGAUAGGAGGUCCUGCGGCAUGGUGGGGGUUGGAAAGUUUCGGCGGUUGGGGAUGGACUCGCGGCUUAUCAGCUUGUUGGUGGGGUAGUGGCUUACCAAGGAUUUGACGGGUAGCCGGCCUGAGAGGGUGACCGGCCACAUUGGGACUGAGAUACGGCCCAGCCUCCUACGGGAGGCAGCAGUGGGGAAUAUUGCACAAUGGGCGGAAGCCUGAUGCAGCAACGCCGCGUGCGGGAUGACGGCCUUCGGGUUGUAAACCGCUUUCGCCUGUGACGAAGCGUGAGUGACGGUAAUGGGUAAAGAAGCACCGGCUAACUACGUG